UACGUAGGCAGCAAGCGUUGUUCGGAAUUACUGGGCGUAAAGGGCGCGUAGGCGGCCUUCUAAGUCAGACGUGAAAUCCCCCGGCUUAACCUGGGAACUGCGUCUGAUACUGGGAGGCUUGAGUAUGGGAGAGGGAUGUAGAAUUCCAGGUGUAGCGGUGAAAUGCGUAGAUAUCUGGAGGAAUACCGGUGGCGAAGGCGGCAUCCUGGACCAUAACUGACGCUGAGGCGCGAAAGCUAGGGGAGCAAACGGG
rnacentral:rRNA from 1 species